rnacentral:lncRNA from 1 species
GCCUGGGGCCGGCCGCGCUCUCGGGCUCGCAGGCGCUGGGUCUCGGCUCCGGCUCCGGCUCCGCGCCGCUGGCUCUGCGUCGCUCGCACUCCAGCCGGGGGCACCCUCAUCCCAGGCUGACUGACGUCCCUGGCACCCAAAUGUCGCGGGGAGUGCGGGGCCAGGGUGCGCCCUCCCUCCUCCUCCAGCCAGUGAAACCCGGGACAGCGGCACCCAGCCCCAGGGCGGAGGCCGUCUCUGCUGCGCGCAGCGACGCACCCAGGCCCAAGGGCCGGGAGAUCCGCGGGGAACCCGGAGACCUGCGUCCCAGAGGGGCCGAGGGUUGCACCGCGCCCGCUCCCACGGGCCUCUUCCGAGAGGACGCUUCUCCCUCGUGUCCGCGGGAAGUCCUCGGAUCCUGGAUGAGAAAGAGCCUUCUCUCACCGGCUCCCAGACCCCGCGCUUUUUAAUACCUGUCCUUGCAGAGCGACUGGUCAUUUUAGGCCCGAGUCGAGCCUCUCUUGAUUAAUAAAUGAAUAUGGCUCGUUUUGUUUUAAGUGUGCGUGGAUGUAUACGUUGUAUUGUUUUGCAAUUCAACACCGCAAAGAUCUGGGAAAAGUUCUUCACCUGCAUUAAGGAAAGCAAUUACAAACUCGUAGUCCAAACCAGAAGAGCCAGAAAAUCAAGUAGAAGGCUCAGGGUAGGAUGAAACCAAAGGGAACAGGAAUCGUUUCUUCCUUUUAAUAAGAUGUCAGGUUAUUGGACUCACUUGAUGAGAGGCAGCAAAAUGAAUCGAACACAGCCUGGGUUCAAAGCCUGACCCCGCCAUCUAAUGAUGUGACCUUCUGCAAAUUCUUAGUCGCUCUAUGCCUCAAUUCUUUAAUCUACAAAAUGGGAAUAAGGACGCAGCUACCGAACAGCUUCUACUCUCCUGCUGUGAGGAUUAAAUGAGUCAGCAGUUCCGAACUGCUUCAAUCGGCCUGGCUCAAGGGAAGCUCCACGGAAGAGUCAGCUAGGAUUAUUAUAAAUUGGUUAUAACAAAGAAGCGAACACAUUCCGUUGCUAGCGCACAGAUUAAGACUCAAUAAUGCCACAUACCAACUGCCACUGCUCUGACAAAUAUUUCUGUCAUUUCAAAAAAAUAUCAUGGCUGCAGCUUUUCAUGACAAAAGAAAACCAUUGGUUUCUGGGCCUCUUAAACAGCUGCACUGAUGGACAUAUUCAUAAUAAUGCUGUACUGUUUGACUUUCCAGAAGAUGUAACUUCUUUAAAGGAUUCACCAAAUUCAACAGCCCCUGAGCCACUCACUCACUGCCAUGUUCACAAGUCC